GAUCAUGGCUCAGGAUGAACGCUAGCUACAGGCUUAACACAUGCAAGUCGAGGGGCAGCAUGGUCUUAGCUUGCUAAGGCCGAUGGCGACCGGCGCACGGGUGAGUAACGCGUAUCCAACCUGCCUUACACUCUUGGACAGCCUUCUGAAAGGGAGAUUAAUACAAGAUGUUAUCAUGGGUAAGCAUUUUCGCAUGAUUAAAGGUUUACCGGUGUAAGGUGGGGAUGCGUUCCA
rnacentral:rRNA from 1 species